rnacentral:sRNA from 1 species
ACAGAAGCCAUCAGACGUAUUGGCUGGAUCCUGCAAAAACCCUUGCUGAACACAAAGAACUGAUCAACACUGGACCUCCAUAUACUUUGUAUUUUGGUAUUAAAUUCUAUGCUGAAGAUCCAUGUAAACUUAAAGAAGAAAUAACCAGGUAUAGUAUUGACUUUGUUUUUGAACAGAUACAUGCAUUGCAUAUAGAAAAAGCUUUAUUUAAAACAAAUUAAAAUUGGGCUAAACA